ACGGCCACAUAACAUUGAAAUACCUGUUCCCUUAUGAUCACUGAAGUUAAGCAGCGCUGAACAUGGUCAGUACCUGGAUGGGUGACUAUUUAGAAAACCAGGUACUGUAAG